rnacentral:sRNA from 1 species
CAGAAGUCGAGCAUCGCAUUCCAGGAC